AUCAACUAAUGUAUGUAGUGUCGGUUAAAACAUUUUUCGAAUGUAGAAAUCGUUUAUGAAAUAAAGUAUUUAAUUAUAUUAAUCGAAUUCGAACUAAUUUUAUGAUAUCAUUAUUACAUAUUUCAAACGUAAUCUUAUGAUUGUUCUGAAUGUAUAAGUUUCCUAUAGUUUGUAAUGUAAAGUGAAAUAUUAUAUAUUAUAUAAUCGGAAUAAAGUAAUUUAUUCUGAACUUAAAAAGUCUAAAAGCUAGUCUUCACGUCGUAAUAUUUUAAUAUGAAAAUUAUGAAGAUCUUUAACACGUAUAAUUGUAAUUUACUCAAACACUUUAGAAUAAAUCAAUUUAUAAAAAAAAAUAUAUUUCUAAGGCUUCAUAAAAAUAUUUCUCAUAUUAGUACAAUAAAUUCUAAUAAUAUGGGAGAAUUGAAUAUUACAAAAUCAAUUGAAAAUUUAAAAAUAUAUCAUGAAAAUAAAUUUGCCUGUCUUUUAAUUGAGUGUUUAUAUUGCAACAAUAAAAAAUUAUAUGUUAAUAAAAUAACAGGUAGGUUUAUAUGUACACAUUGUAUGAGAGUUGGAGAAUGGUCUUCCUGUGAAGAAUACUUGCAAUCUCAUAAAAAUUCUAAAGCUAAUUUCAUUCCUACUCCCAAAAUAUUUGAAGCAGAACAAUAUUUCAAAAAAAUAUCAAAUACUUUAAUACAUUUCAGUGCUCUAUCAGUCGGAACUAAAAAAAGUAUCUUAAAAGCCUUAGAUGUUGAGGGGUUAAAAAUACCAGGUAUAGAUCGUAUUCCAGGUUUAUACCAUAAUGAAAAUAAUGUACUGUAUCUAACUCUUAUGUUAGAUAGAAAAAAAGUUGUUGGCUACAAAAAAAUUGAUGUACAAAAUAAUCAAACAGAUAUAACAGAACCUUUUGAUGAAUGUUGGGGUAUUGCCCAAGUUCCUCCAUCUUUAGUAAAUAGAAAUGAAAGUGCAAUUGUUGUUAAUGAUUUUAAGAGUUUCCUAGUCUUAGCAGCUCAUAAAUUACCUCAUCAUGUUAUUUGUCUACCUCAUGGUUUAAGAAAAUUACCUCAAGAAUUGUUACCAUCAUUAGAAAAUUAUAAUAAGUUGAUACUUUGGUUUGAAAAUGAUCAAAUUGCAUGGAAUUCUGCAAGAACUUUUGCUAAAAAAUUUGUAGAAUCUCGUUGUUAUUUUAUAAGACCUGUAAAUGAUCAACCCUCGCCCUAUAUUGCAUUUAAACAAGAUCUAAAUAUUGAAAAAAUAAUUAAAACUGCUGAUAAAAUGGUUCAUCCUAGUAUCAUUAAUUUUUCAACUAUACGUAAAGAAGUAUUUGCUGAAUUACAAAAUCAUGAUAAAGCUCUAGGCAUAAAGUGGUCUAACUUUCCCAUUUUAAAUAAAACACUUGGAGGUCAUCGUCGUGGCGAACUCACAAUAUUAACUGGACCAACAGGAUCCGGAAAAACCACAUUUAUUAGUGAAUAUUCAUUAGAUUUAACAAAACAAGGACUACCAACAUUAUGGGGUAGUUUUGAGAUAAGAAAUCAAAGAUUGGGAAAAAUUAUGCUUCAACAGUUUGCAAAAGAACCUAUUCACUUGAAUUUGAAUUUGUUUGAUGCAUUAGCUGAUGAAUUUGAAAAGUUACCAUUAUAUUUUAUGACAUUUCAUGGGUCACAACCUUUAAAUACUGUCAUGGAUGCUGUUUUAAAUGCUGCUUAUGUAUAUGAUAUUGGCCAUGUUGUCAUUGACAAUGUACAAUUUAUGAUGGGUAUUGGUUCUAAGUAUAACAUGGGAUCAGAACGUUUCUGGCAACAGGAUACUGUUAUAGCAGAAUUUCGUAAUUUUGCUACUUACACAAAUUGUCAUGUAACAUUAGUAAUACAUCCUAGAAAGGAAAAAGAUGUUGAACAAUUAUCUAUAAGUUCAAUUUUUGGUACUGCUAAGGCAACUCAAGAAGCUGAUAACAUAUUAAUAAUACAGAAUAAAACUCUGGAAUCCUUACAGAUAAAAAAAUAUUUACAAGUUGUGAAAAACCGAUAUAAUGGCAAUCUUGGAAUAAUGCCUUUAGAAUUUGAUAAGCAUAGUUUAAGUUUCUCUCAAUCAAAAAAUUGAUUUUUAGUUUAUCAUCAAUUUAAUUGUUAAUCCAGACCGAAGCGAACAGAGCCUGUGCCCCGGACACCGAUCAGUAGUGUAGGGUUUUGUUUUUUGGAUUGGGAAAUACAUAAAAAAAAAAUCUCUUCGACAAAAAUAAAUAGUAUGUUACCAUGUAACAAUUUUUAUUGGCGGAAUCUACCUCAUUUAAAAUUUUGUAAAAUCUAGCGCCAGCACUAUUCAUGAUGAACGAUGAAGGCUAGUAAAAAAUCGUUUGUUAGUGGUAUGUCAAGACCAAUACUUAAAAGGAGCAAAUUUUGUAAUGAAUUUUAGUUUUCAUCUCUUUCAUCAUACCUUAAAGUUUUUCUAUCUGAAUUAUGAAGUAUUGUGCAGAAAAAACAUUUGAUUUUGUAAAAAUAAACAA